GACGAACGCUGGCGGCGUGCUUAACACAUGCAAGUCGAACGGAAAGGCCCUGCUUUUGUGGGGUGCUCGAGUGGCGAACGGGUGAGUAACACGUGAGUAACCUGCCCUUGACUUUGGGAUAACUUCAGGAAACUGGGGCUAAUACCGGAUAGGAGCUCCUGCUGCAUGGUGGGGGUUGGAAAGUUUCGGCGGUUGGGGAUGGACUCGCGGCUUAUCAGCUUGUUGGUGGGGUAGUGGCUUACCAAGGCUUUGACGGGUAGCCGGCCUGAGAGGGUGACCGGCCACAUUGGAACUAGGUAAGGGCCGAAACUCUUAGGGAGGCAGCAGUGGGGAAUAUUGCACAAUGGGCGGAAGCCUGAUGCAGCAACGCCGCGUGCGGGAUGACGGCCUUCGGGUUGUAAACCGCUUUCGCCUGUGACGAAGCGUGAGUGACGGUAAUGGGUAAAGAAGCACCGGCUAACUACGUG
rnacentral:rRNA from 1 species